rnacentral:rRNA from 1 species
AUUGAACGCUGGCGGCAGGCCUAACACAUGCAAGUCGAGCGGAUGAAGGGAGCUUGCUCCUGGAUUCAGCGGCGGACGGGUGAGUAAUGCCUAGGAAUCUGCCUGGUAGUGGGGGAUAACGUCCGGAAACGGGCGCUAAUACCGCAUACGUCCUGAGGGAGAAAGUGGGGGAUCUUCGGACCUCACGCUAUCAGAUGAGCCUAGGUCGGAUUAGCUAGUUGGUGGGGUAAAGGCCUACCAAGGCGACGAUCCGUAACUGGUCUGGGAGGAUGAUCAGUCACACUGGAACUGAGACACGGUCCAGACUCCUACGGGAGGCAGCAGUGGGGAAUAUUGGACAAUGGGCGAAAGCCUGAUCCAGCCAUGCCGCGUGUGUGGAGAAGGUCUUCGGAUUGUAAAGCACUUUAAGUUGGGAGGAAGGGCAGUAAGUUAAUACCUUGCUGUUUUGACGUUACCAACAGAAUAAGCACCGGCUAACUUCGUG